rnacentral:rRNA from 1 species
GAGUUUGAUCCUGGCUCAGAUUGAACGCUGGCGGCAUGCCUUACACAUGCAAGUCGAACGGCAGCACGGGAGCUUGCUCCUGGUGGCGAGUGGCGAACGGGUGAGUAAUGCAUCGGAACGUAUCCUGGAGUGGGGGAUAACGUAGCGAAAGUUACGCUAAUACCGCAUAUUCUGUGAGCAGGAAAGCGGGGGACCUUCGGGCCUCGCGCUCUUGGAGCGGCCGAUGUCGGAUUAGCUAGUUGGUGAGGUAAAGGCUCACCAAGGCGACGAUCCGUAGCAGGUCUGAGAGGAUGAUCUGCCACACUGGAACUGAGACACGGUCCAGACUCCUACGGGAGGCAGCAGUGGGAUUUGGACAAUGGGGGCAACCCUGAUCCAGCCAUGCCGCGUGAGUGAGGAAGGCCUCGGUUGUAA